rnacentral:rRNA from 1 species
UGCAGUCGAGCGCGGGAAGCGAGCAGAAGCCCUUCGGGGUGGACGCUCGUGGAACGAGCGGCGGACGGGUGAGUAACACGUGGGCAACCUACCUGUGAGACGGGGAUAACUCCGGGAAACCGGGGCUAAUACCGGAUAACGCAUCGAACCGCAUGGUUCGAUGAUCAAAGAUGGCUUCUAGCUAUCACUCACAGAUGGGCCCGCGGCGCAUUAGUUAGUUGGUGGGGUAACGGCUCACCAAGGCGACGAUGCGUAGCCGACCUGAGAGGGUGAUCGGCCACACUGGGACUGAGACACGGCCCAGACUCCUACGGGAGGCAGCAGUAGGGAAUCAUCCGCAAUGGACGCAAGUCUGACGGUGCAACGCCGCGUGAGCGAUGAAGGUCUUCGGAUCGUAAAGCUCUGUUGUGAGGGAAGAACAAGUGCCGUUCGAAUAGGGCGGCACCUUGACGGUACCUCACCAGAAAGCCCCGGCUAACUACGUGCCAGCAGCCGCGGUAAUACGUAGGGGGCAAGCGUUGUCCGGAAUUAUUGGGCGUAAAGCGCGCGCAGGCGGUUCCUUAAGUCUGAUGUGAAAGGCCACAGCUCAACUGUGGAGGGCCAUUGGAAACUGGGGAACUUGAGGACAGAAGAGGAGAGCGGAAUUCCACGUGUAGCGGUGAAAUGCGUAGAUAUGUGGAGGAACACCAGUGGCGAAGGCGGCUCUCUGGUCUGUAACUGACGCUGAGGCGCGAAAGCAUGGGUAGCGAACAGGAUUAGAUACCCUGGUAGUCCAUGCCGUAAACGUUGAGUGCUAGGUGUUAGGGGGUCCAACCCUUAGUGCUGCAGUUAACGCAAUAAGCACUCCGCCUGGGGAGUACGGCCGCAAGGCUGAAACUCAAAGGAAUUGACGGGGGCCUGCACAAGCGGUGGAGCAUGUGGUUUAAUUCGACGCAACGCGAAGAACCUUACCAGGUCUUGACAUCUUCGGACAGCCCAAGAGAUUGGGUCUUCCCUUCGGGGACCGAAUGACAGGUGGUGCAUGGUUGUCGUCAGCUCGUGUCGUGAGAUGUUGGGUUAAGUCCCGUAACGAGCGCAACCCCUUGAUCUUAAGUUGCCAGCAUUCAGUUUGGG